rnacentral:rRNA from 1 species
CAAUAGCGUAUAUUAAAGUUGUUGCAGUUAAAACGCUCGUAGUUGGAUUUCUGGUGGGAGCGAUCGGUCUGGCGCUUAGCGCGAGUACUUGCAUCGUCUCCGGCCAUCCUUGGGGAGAGUCUGUCUGGCAUUAGGUUGUCGGGCAGAGGAUCCUCAUCGUUUACUGUGAAAAAAUUAGAGUGUUCAAAGCAGGCUUAUGCCGUUGAAUAUGUUAGCAUGGAAUAAUAAGAUAGGACUUUGGUACUAUUUUGUUGGUUUGCGCACCAAAGUAAUGAUUAAUAGGGACAGUUGGGGGUAUUCGUAUUCCGUUGUCAGAGGUGAAAUUCUUGGAUUUACGGAAGACGAACUACUGCGAAAGCAUUUACCAAGGAUGUUUUCAUUAA